rfam:Salmo salar isolate Sally breed double haploid chromosome ssa22, whole genome shotgun sequence.
UGCAUUCACUACUGUAAGUCGCUCUGGAUAAGAGUGUCUGCUAAAUGACUCUAA